UCUCUCCCUUAAACAAAAUUCAAUUUCCCUUUGCUUUCUUCUUCGUCGUCCUCACUUUUCAUUCCGUUAAAGCCAUCUUCAGUACAAUUUGGGAGGUAUUCGCCAGCGCUCUUGUUGGGUGUUCCUAUUCAACCAUCCAAUUCGAUCCUAACCCCACUCUCUCUCUUAUUCGUAUUUUCAUUUCGAUCCGAAGCCAUCGCACUGUGUUCCCAUGUCUAUGUGAGCCAACAUUUUUCCUGCUAGGGUCUUUGGGGGGUCUAGAUUUUCUUCCGAGAUUUGGGAGCUUUCAAAACAGGUAUUCUGCUAUUCUUCUGCCAAUUCGUCUUGUUCAGUUUAGGGAUUCUGUACUUGCGCAUCGGCCAUGCGCUUCAACGAAUUAGCGAGUUCUUGACAGCAUAAGGGCAUAUUUUUCUCCUGGGGUUUCUGAUUUCAACAUGUCAGCAGCUUCAAGGGGUAGAGUUACCAUUACACUCGGCCGUAGCGGACAGGUAGUAAAAAAGGCCGGCCCAGGGACUGAUGUUUCCGUCUCUGAUUCUUGGCCUGUAUCUGGAACUAAGCGGUCUGUAAGAGAUAGGUUGGGAAGUAGCUCUGAUUGUGAUCUGUUUUAUGGAAGCCAACUCAAUAACAAACGCAGAUUGCGAGGAGAUGAUGGGAUGUCAAAUUGGAGUUCUAAUGGCGGGUUGGAUGUGCCACAUAUUGGUAAAGACGACCUUCGGUAUAAACUUUUGCAAAAAGGUGCAUUCAGACGUGCUCAAAGCGAUAAUAAGAAGUGUUUAGAUCUUCGGGAGAAGCUACCUAAGGCAGAUCAAGCUCCUAUACGACAUCGUAAUCCACCAUUGCACAAUACAAAUAUCUUACGCCGAACCCCUACAACCAGAAGUGCAGAUGACUUACCUCAGAAGGACUCGUUAGGCAGUUCUUAUUCCCCAUGGACCAUGGAUAAUUUGAGACAAAGAUCACCUGCUAGAAUUGUAGAAUCGUCGAGGCACUACUCUCUACAAAGAGAUGAUGAGAAACUUCAGAGAAGGCCAGCUAACCUGUCAUUUGAGAAUGCAAGAUCAGUGGGGUAUGUAGCCAAAGAUGUUCACAAUGCUUCAGGUUCUGUUAGUACUGCAACGUAUGUGACGAACUCUCUAUUGCCCCCUACAUCUGCAAAGCCUGUGGCACCGGUUGUACCAUUACAUCCUCCCCCAAGUGGCAUUGCACACAAAACUCUCUAUCCCGGCGACGAACUUCAAACUAUAGAUGGCUUGUUGCAGUCUCUAGGAUUGGGAAAAUAUUCCAUUCUUUUUAAGGCCGAGGAAGUUGAUAUGACUGCCUUGAAGCAAAUGGGGGAGAAUGAUCUCAAAGAGCUUGGAAUACCUAUGAAAGAGGCCAAGCCAAGAAAAGCUUGAACUUCCUUGAUGGACGUUGGUGUUGGCCAAGUGUGUAUAGCUUCUACCUUACUAGGACUUGAAAUAGUUUUCUUAGGGUCCGUUUGGUAACGUUUCUAUUCCCUGUUACUUGUUUCUUGUUUUUUGUUCCCUUUUUCCUGUUUCUUCUUUUUUUUAGAACAAGAAACAAGAAUGUGUUUGAUGACUGUUUCUUGUUUCUUGAAAAAAGAAAUAUAAACAAAAAAAAAUGUGUUUGAUAAUUGUUUCUUGUUUCCUGAUUUUCUUUUAGAUUUAUUUUUUAUUUUUCACAUCUACUUCAAUUAAACAUUAAACAAAAAUAUAGGUCAUCCAUCAAACAUAAAAAUAAAAUUAUCAAAAGUUUAUUCAUUUAAUAAGGAGAAGUACUGAUGCACGAAUAAAAAUAAUAACAUAAACAUAAAAUUGUAUCUAUCCUUCAAAUGUUGCCAAAUUUGUUUGGCAAUAUCAUCUCACUCGAGCCCAUUUCUCUUAGAUGAUGUCGAUUCACUUCUUAAUCCAUCAAUUUCAACUUUAUCGAUAUUUUGUGACAUUUAAAAUGUAAUAUUAAUUUUAAAUUAUUAUAUCUUCAGUAUUCAGAAUUGAAAAAAAUGAAACAAAAUUUAACCUUUAACUUUUCUACCUAUGAUGCUUUAGAGAAAAACCCACAACGAAAACCCAGAUCCACAUAAAGAGAGACUAAAACUGUGGAUUCGACGAAGAGGAACAGCCUAGCGAAGAGGAAGAGUCCGAGUUGUAGAGGAAGACGAUGAGAGGCGAAGAGGAAGACGGUGUGCAGAGGAAGACGGUGAGUGAAAGAUGAAAAGGAUGAUUAUUAGGGGAAGACUAUGGAGAUAAAGAGCAAAAGGAAACCAAUAAAAAUAAUUAAGAAAAAGGAAAAGGAAACAAAUAAUAAUAAUUGAGAAAACGGAAAAGGAAACCAAUAAAAAUAAUUAAAAAAAAGAACCAAUAAAAAUAAUUGAGAAAAAGGAAAAGGAAACCAAUAAAAAUAAUUGAGAAACAGGAAAACGAAACCAAUAAAAAUAAUUGAGAAAAAGGUAAAGAAAACAAAUAAAAAUAAUGAAAAGGAAACCAAUAAAAAUAAUUGAGAAAAAGUAAAAGAAAACCAAUAAAAAUA